rnacentral:rRNA from 1 species
GUGCCUACAACAAGUUCGAGCCCUUAAUGGGUGAGAGCGUGCCUUUUGUAGAAUGAACCGGCGAGUUACGUUAUGAUGCGAGGUUAAGUUGAAGAGACGGAGCCGUAGGGAAACCGAGUCUGAAUAGGGCGCCUUAGUAUCAUGACGUAGACCCGAAACCAUGUGACCUACCCAUGAGCAGGUUGAAGGUGCGGUAAGACGCACUGGAGGACCGAACCAGGGCACGUUGAAAAGUGCUUGGAUGACUUGUGGGUAGCGGAGAAAUUCCAAACGAACUUGGAGAUAGCUGGUUCUCUCCGAAAUAGCUUUAGGGCUAGCGUCGACAUUAGAGAUUCUUGGAGGUAGAGCACUGUUUGGGUGAGGGGUCCAUCCCGGAUUACCAAUCUCAGAUAAACUCCGAAUGCCAAUGAAUUAUGGUCGGCAGUCAGACUGCGAGUGCUAAGAUCCGUAGUCGAAAGGGAAACAGCCCAGACCACCAGCUAAGGUCCCAAAAUAAUUGUUAAGUGGAAAAGGUUGUGGGGUUGCACAGACAACUAGGAUGUUAGCUUAGAAGCAGCUAUUCAUUCAAAGAGUGCGUAAUAGCUCACUAGUCGAGUGACCCUGCGCCGAAAAUGUACCGGGGCUAAAACAAUUUACCGAAGCUGUGGAUACCUUUAUAGGUAUGGUAGGAGAGCGUUCUAUGUGUGAUGAAGGUAUACCGUGAGGAGUGCUGGAACGCAUAGAAGUGAGAAUGCCGGUAUGAGUAGCGAAAGACAGGUGAGAAUCCUGUCCACCGUAAGACUAAGGUUUCCAGGGGAAGGCUCGUCCGCCCUGGGUUAGUCGGGACCUAAGGAGAGACCGAAAGGUGUAUCCGAUGGACAACAGGUUGAUAUUCCUGUACUAGAGUAUGUAGUGAUGGAGGGACGCAGUAGGCUAACUAAAGCAGACGAUUGGAAGAGUCUGUCUAAGCAGUGAGGUGUGAAUUGAGUCAAAUGCUUAAUUCUAUAACAUUGAGCUGUGAUGGGGAGCGAAGUUUAGUAGCGAAGUUAGUGACGUCACACUGCCAAGAAAAGCUUCUAGCGUUUAAACAUACUCUACCCGUACCGCAAACCGACACAGGUAGUCGAGGCGAGUAGCCUCAGGUGAGCGAGAGAACUCUCGUUAAGGAACUCGGCAAAAUGACCCCGUAACUUCGGGAGAAGGGGUGCUGACUUUAAGUCAGCCGCAGUGAAUAGGCCCAAGCAACUGUUUAUCAAAAACACAGCUCUCUGCUAAAUCGUAAGAUGAUGUAUAGGGGGUGACGCCUGCCCGGUGCUGGAAGGUUAAGAGGAGUGCUUAGCGUAAGCGAAGGUAUGAAUUGAAGCCCCAGUAAACGGCGGCCGUAACUAUAACGGUCCUAAGGUAGCGAAAUUCCUUGUCGGGUAAGUUCCGACCCGCACGAAAGGCGUAAUGAUUUGGGCACUGUCUCAACGAGAGACUCGGUGAAAUUUUAGUACCUGUGAAGAUGCAGGUUACCCGCGACAGGACGGAAAGACCCCAUGGAGCUUUACUGCAGUUUGAUAUUGAGUGUCUGUACCACAUGUACAGGAUAGGUAGGAGUCUAAGAGAUCGGGACGCCAGUUUCGAAGGAGACGCUGUUGGGAUACUACCCUUGUGUUAUGGCCACUCUAACCCAGAUAGGUGAUCCCUAUCGGAGACAGUGUCUGACGGGCAGUUUGACUGGGGCGGUCGCCUCCUAAAAGGUAACGGAGGCGCCCAAAGGUUCCCUCAGAAUGGUUGGAAAUCAUUCGCAGAGUGUAAAGGUAUAAGGGAGCUUGACUGCGAGAGCUACAACUCGAGCAGGGACGAAAGUCGGGCUUAGUGAUCCGGUGGUUCCGUAUGGAAGGGCCAUCGCUCAACGGAUAAAAGCUACCCUGGGGAUAACAGGCUUAUCUCCCCCAAGAGUUCACAUCGACGGGGAGGUUUGGCACCUCGAUGUCGGCUCGUCGCAUCCUGGGGCUGUAGUCGGUCCCAAGGGUUGGGCUGUUCGCCCAUUAAAGCGGCACGCGAGCUGGGUUCAGAACGUCGUGAGACAGUUCGGUCCCUAUCCGUCGCGGGCGUAGGAAAUUUGAGAGGAUCUGCUCCUAGUACGAGAGGACCAGAGUGGACUUACCGCUGGUGUACCAGUUGUCUUGCCAAAGGCAUCGCUGGGUAGCUAUGUAGGGAAGGGAUAAACGCUGAAAGCAUCUAAGUGUGAAACCCACCUCAAGAUGAGAUUUCCCAUGAUUAUAUAUCAGUAAGAGCCCUGAGAGAUGAUCAGGUAGAUAGGUUAGAAGUGGAAGUGUGGCGACACAUGUAGCGGACUAAUACUAAUAGCUCGAGGACUUAUCCA